rnacentral:rRNA from 1 species
GACGAACGCUGGCGGCGUGCUUAACACAUGCAAGUCGAACGGUGAAGCGCCUUCCUUUUUGGUGGGUGUGGAUGAGUGGCGAACGGGUGAGUAACACGUGAGUAACCUGCCCCCUUCUUCUGGAUAACCGCAUGAAAGUGUGGCUAAUACGGGAUAUUCUGGGUCUGUCGCAUGAUGGGUCUGGGAAAGAUAUUGUUUCGGUGGGGGAUGGGCUCGCGGCCUAUCAGCUUGUUGGUGGGGUGAUGGCCUACCAAGGCGGUGACGGGUAGCCGGCCUGAGAGGGUGGACGGUCACACUGGGACUGAGACACGGCCAAGACUCCUACGGGAGGCAGCAGUGGUGAAUAUUGCACAAUGGGCGCAAGCCUGAUGCAGCGACGCCGCGUGAGGGAUGGAGGCCUUCGGGUUGUGAACCUCUUUCGCCAGUGAAGCAGGCCUGCCUCGUUUGUGGGUGGGUUGACGGUAGCUGGAUAAGAAGCGCCGGCUAACUACGUG